AUACAAUAUAGUUACAUUGUAGGGAAGGAGAUUACCACAUUUCAUGGACAGAAUAAUACCAUCUACUCCAUGAAAAUUUUCACGAGUUAAUCAUGCAAUGCCAGUGAAAUUUAUUAAAAGUUCUGCAAACUUUUAUUCCUUUACAAGCCAUAAUAUGCAUAACUAUGGAAACAAUUUAACAUUGGCUAGCAUUAGUAGCCCUAUCCAAGUACAAGAAAGAAGAUACAAGGUACUUAUACGUCAUUUGACAAAUUAAGAUAAGACUUACUUCCAUAGGUCCUCCACACAUUAACAAUGACAAGGAGUUCAUAGCAUCCAUAUCAACAUCAGGAUUGAUUAACUUCUUUCAGCCUUAGUCUUGAAACCAUGUGCUCUAACUUCUGCAAGGAAAAACAAACGAAUCUUAUGUAUGUGAUUAAAUUAACUUUCCAAUUGGAAAACUGGAUGACAUUUAAUUUCUUAUAUGAAAAUAUAGACCUAAAUGUUUACACGAUUUAGUUUACCAAACUGACCAGUGGCAGAAUUCCAGAAAACAAAGGAUAUAUAGCGUGAACAUUUGCAUUUGAAAAGUUGCUCAAUGUCUUGACUAAUUGAAGACAGUGUCCAUUAUUUUUCCCACAUCAUCUUCUUUGUUAUUAUCCAGUGAGAGGCUGACAGAAUGUUGUUGUAGGACAAUAUCAAAUAAUUAACCCCCACCCUAUUCAAUACAAAUGAAAACAUGCUGAAGUCUGCAAAACAUAUAUAUUUUCUUUUAUCUAACUUUCACAAAAAAUAGGUCAACCUAUCAUCAACCAUAUAAAACCAUAUAAGCUAUAAUUCCUACCAAGGAAUGAUUCAGUUUUCCUAGUGCACAACAAAAUAGCAUACCAUGCACUCAUAUGCGUGCGGGAACCAUCUGAAAAUUGUGGAAGACAGAUUCCACAUUCAUGUGAGAGCAGAUGCACUAUUUCCCAAUAUGCCUGGAGUAAUGAAUGAUAUUCUCUUCCAGGAAACUUUCAAUCGCAUAACUGCUUUAAUUAUGCAAGCAUAAUGCAACUAGUGCUAUGAACAGAUACUUCUCAUAAAGGUCAGUUUUGACCUUUGGUUGCUAAACACAAGAUUUGGAUGCUGCUACUAUCAUUCAUAUUUCAGCGUAAUUUUGGCAACAAAAUCGAAAAGACAAAUGAAUUUAUGAUUCCUUUGUAAUCAAUCGGCAUUAAAGUCAACAAACCUGCUCAGUAUGUGGCAAAUACUUCCCAUCAAAUGUCAAAACAACACGAUCUUUUCCAUCCACACCUUUCACUUUAUCAACAGAGCAGUAGAAAUCUAUGGCUGACAUAAUGCCAUCACCAAACUCCUCAUUAAUAAUUUCCUUGAUGCUUUCACCAAAAUGCAAAACCGCUUCAUUCAACCUGUAAACGGUCGGUUCUUGGAUCAGGUCGGGGCGGUAAGACCUCAUGGGUGGUUUAGUCAUCUCGUCAAGCAGAGAGUCAGUGAGUUCAGGCAGCGCAGCUCGUAGUUUUGAGGAGGUAUCUGGUUUGAGUUGGGCCUGGCGUCUUAACAACUGAGCAACGUAGACAUUGGUGAGGCCAGUCUCCUCCGCAAUCUGAGUGUAGGUCUUGGCGGACCUCUUUUUCACAUCCAACAGGCGGUUGGAUAUUUCCGAUCUGGUCUCUAUCGUUUCAGGAGUGAACGUCUUUGACAUAUUUCCUCUCUUCUAUCUCUAUGGUCGAGUCACUGAAAAACAAUGCUGAU
rnacentral:misc_RNA from 1 species